UAAUACAGAGGGUGCAAGCGUUAAUCGGAUUUACUGGGCGUAAAGCGUGCGUAGGCGGUUUGCCAAGUCGAAUGUGAAAUCCCUGGGCUUAACCUGGGAACUGCAUCCGAAACUGGCAGACUAGAAUGUGGUAGAGGGAGGUGGAAUUCCAGGUGUAGCGGUGAAAUGCGUAGAUAUCUGGAGGAACAUCAAUGGCGAAGGCAGCCUCCUGGGCCAACAUUGACGCUGAGGUACGAAAGCGUGGGGAGCAAACAGG
rnacentral:rRNA from 1 species